UUCAUUCAGUUCACAUACCCACUCCCUUCAUCUCGCACACCCUAACCUGCUCUGACGCCGACAAAGCAAUCAGUCACUGACGUCGGCCAAGCACUCGUAUGGACAUACCCACUCUCUUCCCCCAAGAUUUCUGAUGGCCUGGGUUAUUUUCCACUGCCUCUGCCCCAGACCAUCUACCCUUCAGUUCUCCAGAAUUUUCAGAAUCUCUACAGCCCCUACAGCCACAACCACGCAGUGAUUCAAAGGUUGUUGUAGCCCCUCAACCAUUGAAUUGACAAAGUCCUCCUCUCACGACUUCUUUCAUAUGGUGCCUUUAUGUUAGGAUGAUACUUAAGAUGGCUGUUAGCUUAAGCAAUAAUAAUAGGCCACAUCUCAGCGUGUGUCUCAUUCUCUAAGGCAACUUGUACACUUUACGGGUCUGGCUUUCAAUCCUCCCUAUUGUCUUGAGGAACAUUUACUCAAAAUGUAGUUUACAGAACUUCAAAGAAGUAGAUGGCUUGAAGUUAUUAUUUGAGGAGGUGGAAGGAUUUGGUUUGUGGUUUGUGGAAGAGGAUUGAUGAGUCUGAGAAGAUCAAGCAACAAUUGGCAGAGUGUUUGGGAAUUCCACGAUAUUAAAUCGCAGACUCACAGUCCCUAUCCACAGGUGUUAAAGAUCAUAACUACAAAACUUGGAAUUACAAAAGGCAAAUACAUGCAUCUUUUUUAGUCGAAACCCAGUCUUAGAGUGGGGAAAUAAUUACUACAAAACUUGGGUUUACCAAGGGCAAGAAUAUAUGGAGCUUGGCCUCUAGUCUUUGAGUGAAGAGUUCUUCACUCGUUUAUAUUCACUAUUUUUGGAUAUGUUAUGUGUACUUGAAUAACUAGUAUGCUCGUGUACUUUUGAAUGAAAGAAACUUUUAUUCA